CGCGGCCUAGCAGCUUGUUGGUGAGGUAGUGGCUCACCAAGGCGUCGACGGGUAGCCGGCCUGAGAGGGUGACCGGCCACACUGGGACUGAGACACGGCCCAGACUCCUACGGGAGGCAGCAGUGGGGAAUAUUGCACAAUGGGCGCAAGCCUGAUGCAGCAACGCCGCGUGAGGGACGACGGCCUUCGGGUUGUAAACCUCUUUUAGUUGGGAAGAAGCCUUCGGGUGACGGUACCUUCAGAAAAAGCACCGGCUAACUACGUGCCAGCAGCCGCGGUAAUACGUAGGGUGCAAGCGUUAUCCGGAAUUAUUGGGCGUAAAGAGCUCGUAGGCGGUUUGUCACGUCUGCUGUGAAAACUGGAGGCUCAACUUCCAGCUUGCAGUGGGUACGGGCAGACUUGAGUGCGGUAGGGGAGAUUGGAAUUCCUGGUGUAGCGGUGGAAUGCCCAAAUAUCANGANGAACACCGAUGGCGAAGGCAGAUCUCUGGGCCGUAACUGACGCUUANGAGCGAAAAAAGUGGGGAGCAAAACAGGCUUAAAUACCCUGGUAGUCCACUCCCGUAAACGUUGGGAACUANUUUGUGGGGGCCUUUCUACNGUCUCCCUGACGCAGCUAACGCAUUUAAGUUCCCCCCCCCUGGGGAAUACCGGAANGGGCGAAUUUCCAGCCCNNCUGGCCGGCCCGUUACUUAGUGGAAUCCCNAACCUCCGGUACCCAAGCUUUGGCGUNAAUCCAUUGGG
rnacentral:rRNA from 1 species